rnacentral:rRNA from 1 species
UUUUAUUUUUAAGUAAAAAAGCUUAAAUUUUUAUAAAAGACGAUAAGACCCUAUAGAGUUUUAUAGUUUGUAUUUAAUGAUUUUUAGGCUCAAAAUUAAGUUUCAAGCUAUUUGAUUGGGGUGAUUGUAAAAUUAAAGGAACUUUUACGGUAAUUUACAUUGAUAUGUGGGAAACCAAGUUGAUCCAAUUAUUUUGAUUAGAAGAUUAAAUUACCUUAGGGAUAACAGCGUAAUUUUUUUUGAGAGCUCUAAUCAAUAAAGAAGAUUGCGACCUCGAUGUUGGAUUAAAAUUAAAUCUUGGUGCAGAAGCUAGGAGAUUU